GGACUCGAACCGCAGUCGUUUUUUCCGAGUGUCGUUCGGUCUGACCGUCUGACGCAAUUUCGAGCAGAAAAAAAGUGUUAUGAUUUCGUGUUUACGUGAAAGUGUAAAUCCCUCAUUGAUCAACCUGUUCCACGCAGAACCGCCAACCAACAAUGUCAGCUUUGCUGAUCGGUGCAACCCGGUUAAUGUAUUGUGUUUCUGUUUUAUGUUCCCGGGGCAUUCAUCCCAGGCUGCUCCGAAAUCCACCUACACAGGUGCGGGUACCACUGAGCAUUCUUCCGGUGUGGAUGACAUUUGGUGAUCCGGCCAAAGAUAAUGUUGGGAUGUACGCCCGAGGAAGAGCUCAUAACAUCGCUGUAAUGGUGCGACCAAUCAACUCUUUAUACAAAAUAGUUAAACCGUUCCGGAAUUCUCCGCUCGGAGAUUUGGGGUGUUCGAUUGAUCCGGUAACGUUGCUGCUGCUCACGGAAGCCAAAUCAAUUCAUAGAGAAGAAUAUUCUGCAGAAUUCGCUCGCUAACGGAGAAGAAAAUCUUCCGAUGGCACACCACAGGUGAGCGGCCUCUAAAAAUUCAAAACGACAGCAAGCAUACUAGGAAGUAGUAUAAUUCGAGAAAGACGAGCAAUAUUGAUGAAUAAUUUAAGAAGACUUUACGACUCGCCAGGAGCUAGAGUGCUGCUCCUUUGGUGAUGAUGACGGUUGGGGCAAACCUCAACUUACAAUCAAGAAUGGCAACGCCAUUAGGGAACCUGUAAUAAACAGCACCCAGUAAAGAGAACUGGUCUCCAAAUUAAAAAAAAUCUUUCGAGCAGGAGGAAGAAAGUGAAGAUGAAGAAUCGAAUCAAGGUUCUAAUACUGGACAGCGAUCACAGAAUCAUCAUCGAAUCCAAACAUUUAAAGCGGGUCAAUGAAUCGCAAUGAAUAUGCUGACCAUAUCUUAUUUUAUUAUUCGGUCGGCGCCUAAAACCUGAAUCUCCAAUUCGGACACGAUGAAGAAUGGUGCGACGUAAAACAG